UAGUUUCUAGAAUCAUGCGGACGAAUUACCACCACGAAAAUGCCCCACACCACAAAGAUAGCGUCAAAUGAGCUAACGGAUUGUUCACGAUGAUUUGGGGUCAUUCUUCAAGAGCUUUGAACAAUGUGGUUAGGGAGGGUGUGCCGCCGCCCUCAUGCGAGAAAAACUGAUUCCGAGGAGAUAAAACCAGACUCCAGCCCCUCUCUACAGCCAUAACCAGGACUCUUACUUCGGAUACUUUGGAGAGAUUCGUAGAUUCCCCUACUGGGUCAUUGAAUAGUUCGACCGCCUUAUUCAUACCCCAGUCCAGCAAAGAAUUUCCAUUAGGGCAGCUGUAGUUGUUUACAGACUCCUGACUUACAAUCACACGAAACUCCGGAUUUAGCAUCAGGUAAAGAUCGUUACAUGACGAUGAGGACUAUUUCCUCCUUUCUCCUCACACUCCUCUCCUCCCUGCUCCUUAUUUCCGUGUCCUGCCUCCCCACAAGAGAUAUAAAACCUACCAGUGAGAGCCCAGUGACGUCAUACUUCAGCACUACUCCUGGAAAUACAGAAACACAUUGCAUGUCACCUGAAGGAGAGAUGGUUGCAGAAGGAGACCUCCUGUUUGAAGACUGUGAGGUCAGAUGUUACUGCGUCUCCGGAGGGGAGUCCUGCAUUAACCGGUGUGGUCGACCCUUCCCGCCACCUCACUGUCGACUUCCCAGACUGGUUCCUGAUCCUCACGACCGCUGUUGUAAAGUUUUCAGGUGUUUUGACAGGGAGAUAAGUUAAAGGACUCUUCCGGAGUUUAUUGAAAAGUUUGAUGACUCUUUCAGUUUGUCCAACUUGUUUGAGAUAUCUUGUUUAAGGAUUUUGUUUUUGAGGGUUUAUUGUUAUUUUUGAGUUCUUGAAUUAUGGUUUUGUUGAAAUAUUUCUUUUGAA